rnacentral:lncRNA from 1 species
GUAGAAGGGAGUAUGGAGAUUCGCCAAUAGUCAAGCAGUCUAUCAGUUUUUGACUUCUGGAAUAUAAAUGACUGCAAGAAUACACUGUAAAUCUAUACGGAUGCCCUUUGACUGCUCGCCGAAGUCCUUUUUGUCCCAGCCGGUAGGUCUCUAGAUGUUACAGAGAACCCCGAACAACCCAAACUGCUAAUCUUCGAUACCGCUUUAUACUCACGAUCUUGUAUCCAUUGACUGUCUUGUUAGAUUAACCCAAUAAAUUUCAUUCACUCCGCAUACUCAAUCCUAUAGACAUCCUUUUAACUCUUCAUCACAGACGUAACUCGAUUUCACAAAACAGUCAAGAGUAUUCAAACCCACUUCAUUAAAAAUCCCGAUUCACCAUUACAACACUGACUUCAGCAACGAUUGCCUCAGUCUUCCCAAAAUCCUAUGAAGAAAAAAAACCCAAUUCUCUGUCUUCUUU